UUGCAGAACACAUUGAACAUCGACAUCUUGAACGCAAAUGGCGGCCUCGGGUCCAUCCCGAGGCCACGCCCGUCUGAGGGUCGGCGAGUCAGACAAGCUAUCGCCUCCUUUCGUGGCAGCAGGUUUCCGCACAUAAAGGCUUCCGUUUCUGUCGAACAUUUCUUGCUCUGGAAUGACGAUGAGACGGGUGCUAGAAUGUGUUUGGGGGCCGUGGAGGCGCUUUGGGUUUUCGCGGAUCUUUUGUGAUUCUCGUGACUUCAAGUGCAUGCUGCGCCGUCCGUCAUCUCGUGACGUCUCGGUGCCCGGAACAGCUCUGUUUUCCGGGCACUGGCGACAUAGGCGAGAGAAGUUUAUUUUUCUCCUAACCGACGCCGCCGGCCGUCGUGCUGGACUCGGAUUGAUCGGCUAUCAUCGAGCCACCGGCAAACUGGAAGCUGCGGGAUAGUGGGAGAAAUGAAGCUUAUGGCGGCGCCCAGUUAAAACAAAGCUGCUUGCUUUUGUUUCACAUAUCCGACCUCAGAUCGGACGAGAUUACCCGCUGAAUUUAAGCAUAUUACUAAGCGGAGGAAAAGAAACUAACAAGGAUUCCCUCAGUAACGGCGAGUGAAGCGGGAAUAGCCCAGCACCGAAUCCCUCAGUGUCAUGCUGACGGGAACUGUGGUGUGUGGGACGCCACCAGUCGCAUCAGAGGGCGCCGAAGUCCUCCUGAUCGGGGCUUCACCCAGAGCGGGUGUAAGGCCUUUGCGGGUGCUUCUCUGUGCGGCCGCGAGCGUCUCAGGAGUCGGGUUGUUUGGGAAUGCAGCCCAAAGCGGGUGGUAAACUCCA
rnacentral:rRNA from 1 species